GGGGCGGUAGCUCAGUUGGGAGAGCGCCUGCCUUGCACGCAGGAGGUCGUGGGUUCGAAUCCCAUCCGCUCCA
rnacentral:tRNA from 1 species